UACCCUGUAGAACCGAAUGUGUGUGAUGCAACCACAGUCACAGAUUCGAUUCUAGGGGAGUAU
rnacentral:pre_miRNA from 1 species